rnacentral:rRNA from 1 species
UAGGAAUCUUGCGCAAUGGGAGAAAUCCUGACGCAGCAACGCCGCGUGAGGGAUGACGGCCUUCGGGUUGUAAACCUCUUUUAGUAGGGAAAAACACAAUGAUGGUACCUGCAGAAAAAGCACCGGCUAACUCUGUGCCAGCAGCCGCGGUAAUACAGAGGGUGCAAGCGUUAUUCGGAAUUAUUGGGCGUAAAGAGCGCGUAGGCGGUCUGAUAAGUCUGGUGUGAAAUCCCUGGACUCAAUUCAGGAAGCGCAUUGGAUACUGUCAGACUCGAGUACAGGAGAGGUCAGCGGAAUUCCCGGUGUAGAGGUGAAAUUCGUAGAUAUCGGGAGGAACAACAGUGGCGAAGGCGGCUGACUGGACUGUAACUGACGCUGAGGCGCGAAAGCGUGGGGAGCAAAC